GUAUUGAUAUAGCAGCACAUAAAGCAAAAUUGGAAUGAUAGAGAGAAGAUUAGCAUGGCCCAGCUAAUCGAUUGAGACCAUUUUGAAACAAUUCCUUGAAACACUU
rnacentral:snRNA from 1 species